rnacentral:tRNA from 1 species
GGGGGAUUAGCUCAGCUGGGAGAGCGCCUGCAUGGCAUGCAGGAGGUCAGCGGUUCGAGCCCGCUAUCCUCCACCA